rnacentral:rRNA from 1 species
UACGAAGGGUGCAAGCGUUACUCGGAAUUACUGGGCGUAAAGCGUGCGUAGGCGGUUUGUUAAGUCCGCUGUGAAAGCCCUGGGCUCAACCUGGGAAUUGCAGUGGAUACUGGCAGCUAGAGUGCGGUAGAGGAUGGUGGAAUUCCCGGUGUAGCGGUGAAAUGCGUAGAGAUCGGGAGGAACACCGGUGGCGAAGGCGG